UACAGAGGUCCCGAGCGUUGUUCGGAUUUAUUGGGCGUAAAGGGUGCGUAGGCGGCGGAGUAAGUUGGGUGUGAAAUCCCGGGGCUUAACCUCGGAAUGGCAUUCAAUACUGCUUCGCUCGAGUACUGGAGAGGAGGCUGGAAUUUACGGUGUAGCAGUGAAAUGCGUAGAUAUCGUAAGGAAGGCCGGUGGCGAAAGCGAGCCUCUGGACAGUUACUGACGCUGAUGCACGAAGGCCAGGGGAGCAAACAGG
rnacentral:rRNA from 1 species